rnacentral:rRNA from 1 species
UUUUGUUGGAGAGUUUGAUCCUGGCUCAGGACGAACGCUGGCGGCGUGCUUCACACAUGCAAGUCGAACGGAAAGGCCCGCUUGCGGGUACUCGAGUGGCGAACGGGUGAGUAACACGUGGGUAA